rnacentral:lncRNA from 1 species
UUUUUGCUUUUCAGGGCCACACUUGUGCCAUAUAGAGAUUCCCAGGCUAGGGGUCAAAUCAGGGCUGCAGCUGCGGGCCUACGCCACCGCCACAGCCGCACGGGAUCUGAGCUGCAUCUGCGACUGACACCACAGCUCACGGCAAUGCCGGAUCCUUAACCCACUGAGCAAGGUCAGGGAUUGAACUCGCAUCGUCAUGGAUGCUAGUCAGGUUCGUAAGCCACUGAGCUACAACGGGAACUCCUGAAUGAAUUCUCUUUACAAAAUCGAUCCUCUAAGGUUUUCCAAAAAUGGUCUCGUGCCAACUGCAAAUGCAAAUGGUUUGACGUCUUCUUUGCCAGCUGUUAUGCUCUGAUUGAUUCCUUCUGUCUGGCAGGUGCUGGCAGAGGGAGGUGGUGGGCAUCCGCGCCUUGCUCCUGCUCUUGGUGGAAACGCCCCUUCCUAGGUCAGGCCCUGGCUUUAGGACCAAGUGUCUCGGCUCAGAGGGCUGUAAACAGUGUGAACGAACUGAAUGCCACCGAAGCGUACCCUUUAAAAUGGCUGAAAUGGCAUGUCCUGUGUAUAUUUGACAACUUUUCCAAAACUAGUUUCUUUUGGAGUUCUCACUGUGGUGCGGUGGAUUAGGAAUCCAACUCCAGAAGCUCAGGUCACUAUGGGGGCUCAGGUUCGCUCCCUGGCCCAGCGCAGUGGGUUAAAAGAAACCAGUGUUGCAGUUCCCGUUGUGGCGCAGUGGUUAACGAAUCCAACUAGGAACCAUGAGGUUGCGAGUUUGAUCCCUGGCCUUGCUCAGUGGGUUAAGGAUCUGGCGUUGCUGUGAGCUGUGGUGUAGCUCGCAGACACGACUCAGAUCCGGCGUUGCUGUGGCUGUGGUGCAGGCUGGCAGCAACAACUCUGAUUCGACCCCUAGCCUGGGAACCCCCAUAUGCUGCGGAAGCGGCCCUAGAAAAGGCAAAGAGACACACACACACACACAAAGGCAGUAAAAAGUAAGUGUUGCUGUGGCUGCAGCUCAGAUUCCAUCCCCAUCAUGGGAACACCCCUGUGCCACAGGCACAGCCAUAAAAAGAGAAAAAGGAAAAGAUAUUUCCUUCAGUUCCUAUUUUCUUAUCAUCAUGUUAUUGAAUUUUGAACAGGACAUAUCCAUGGAGAGAACUGUGCAUUUUUCUCCUUAACCCCAGUCACAGUGUAUUAUUUUGGUGAUGCUGUUGCAUUAUGUUUGCAUUAGAUUUCAUUUGCUAAUACUCAGUAUUUUGCAUGGAUAUUCCUGAGUGACAUUAGCAUACAGAUUUUUUCUUUAUCCUGUCUUUAUCAGGUCUGAGCAUCUGAUAUUAUCCAGCUUCAGAAGAGGACUUGAGAAGGUGUCCUUUGCUUUCCAUGCUCUGGAACACACUUCAUGGUGCUCGGGCACCAGCUGGUCUUUGAAGUCUAGUAGAAUUCCCCUGUCAAGUUUGGGGCAGUUCCUUCAUAACGUCCUUCGUAACGUCCUCCAUCUCCCCUUAUUUCAUUGUCUUUUUAGGGCCACACUCAAACGGCAUACGGACGUUCCCAGGCUAGGGAUCCAAUAGGAGCUGCAGCUGCCAGCCUACACCCAGCCACAGCACCACCCAAUCCGAGCCACAUCUGUGGCCUACACCACAGCUUGCUGUAACGCCGGAUCCUUAAUCCACGGAGCGAGGUCAGGGAUGGAACCCACAUCCUCAUGGAUACUAGUUGGGUCCUUAAUCCGCUGAGCUACAAUGGGAGCUCCCACGUCCGCUUAUUUUUAACGUCCUGUGAUUCCCACUGAGCCAUGUACAGUGAAGGCCUUUCCAGCCACCACCCACUGGAGAAAAGUCUGCUCCCAUCUGCGCUGGUGGCUUUGGGGUCUUUGUUAACGUUCACGGCAUAUGCCUCACACCAGGGCUCAAUAGCAGCGGGGCGCUGACCACUGGGCACUGGGAAACCAGACCUGACCAGGCCGGGUCCCCUGGGCCCAGGGCCAGCAUGGGGGCCCUGCUACGUCGGCUCUUGGGGUCAGAUGAAGCAACCUGGCAAGUUGUGGUAAGUUCAUCACGUGAUCCUAAGUCACGGGAUCCUAAGUCGGUCCCGUUUGCCGUACGGCACAAGCCACAUGUGCCAACGAGGAGGCAGCACGGCUGUGAUGGCCCCAGAACCGCUUCGCUGGGACGGUCACUGUCGUUGGAACAGUUCACACAAGGAGCAGGUGUUCUGAGAGGGGGGCCGGGACCGUCGCCUCAGAGCCUGUUGGUUUCUCUGGCUGAUGGUCUGUCUGAACCGGCGACUUCAGAGAAGGCUGAUCCAGGAGAGGCUUGGCCAGAACCGCAGGCUUCCCACCUCGUUGGGCCCCUCACCUGCUCCCCCUCGACGCCUCCCCGCUCCCGAGGGGCCAGCGAGAGGAAAGCGAAACACCCAGAGGAGGCGAGGACACAGCUUCACUGUUUCAGUUCUUUCAUUUCUUUGCUGUGGAACCGGAACCAGCAAAACAGAACAUCAAAGCUCAGGCUGGUGAUUUUGCGCCUCGAAAUCUGGCAGAUCCCUCUGGGCCUCGGCUGGCAUGGCACUGCUUCCAUUUCACGGGUGAGAAGCCAGGCUCGGGGGGAACCUCAGCGGAUUCUGAUCCAGGACUCGGCCUCUGCCCACGUUCCCCCCUCGGCUUGUCGCUGCCCGACAUUAGGUGGGCUCGUCCGGGCCUCAAUCCCACGUGUCUGCUGCCCCUUCCUAAACCAGCCCUUUGGGGGGAGGGGGUACAGAGAAAACCUUUCCAAACACAGCACGAGAGCCCAAAUCAUAAAAAGACGGAUAAACGUGACUGCAGAAAAGCUUGUAUUAAACACCGAGGAUAGGAGCUCCUGCUGAGGCACAGGGGGGUAACAAGCCCGACUAGCAUCCAGGAUGACACAGGUUCAAUCUCUGGCCUCACUCAGUGGGUUAAGGAUCCAGUGUUACUGUGAGCUGUGGUGUAGGUCACAGACGUGGCUCGGAUCCCGUGUGGCCGUGGCUGUGGUGCAGGCUGGCAGCUGAAGCUCUGAUUUAACCCCUAGCCUGGGAACCUCCUUCAUAUGCCACAGGUGCAGCCACAAAAAAAAAAAAAAGAAAAAGAAAAGAAAACAGAAAAAGAAGGCACCUAGAAAACCAAAAGCCAACCUGGAAAACAUGCGCAGUUCACACCACGGAGGAAAGGUCACCCUCAGGCAGCCCCACUGCCCCAGGACACACCGCAAGCAACGGGCCAAGGCCAUCUACCCCAAGGCAGUUGUGACAGAAGGCCGCCUCCCUGGCUCAGGACAAAGGGGCACGGGGAGCACGGGGCCCAGAAGCUCGACAGCACAGGUCUGAGGCUGGCACCCGCAGGGAUGCUCUGGCCGCAGCGCAGGGAGGGGAGGUCGGACUCAGCCCGACUCCCUCUCAAGAUGGAAAGGAAUUCGGAGGCCUGGCAGCUCGAAGGGGGGUCAGGGCCCCCUGCCCAGGGCCCCCGCCUGGACACCAACCUGUGGGUGAAACCCUGCAAGGGGAACUUUUGAAAAAGAACAAGUCCCAGCCCCGGGGCCAGCCCGGCACGGCAGGGGGGCCCUUCCUGACCACGCGGGAGGCCGGCUCGGACCCGGCCCGGCGAGCUCAGAACCGGACCCAAGGGGUUGGGGCUUCACUGCCUGCUGGAGGGGGCAAGACCCUCUUCACAGGAAGAUGCUAAAACUUCAGCGCUCAACCAUGAGAACGCCACAGGAUCAGGCGCCCAAUAAACAACUUUCUAGACACACUCAGUAGCAGGAAAAUAGGCACCACAAAGCAGAAGGUGAAUCGGCAGAGACCCGAAAUGACAGGGGAGAGAGAAUGAGCACGAAGGAAAGCAAUUAUGUGAAGUGGGUGCCGUGUGCUCAAGGGCAUUUUCUUCAAGCUUCGUCUGAUUUCUCAAAUUUAUCUUUUACUGAAGUAAAGCUGAUCCACAAUGUUGUAUUAAUUUCUGCUCUACAGCAACGGCCCUCAGUCAU